rnacentral:lncRNA from 1 species
AUGACUGUUACAAUGAUCCCCCUUCUUGAAGGGUCACAUUGCUCUCAGAGAAUUCAAAAACAUUGUUGCUGCAAGAGAAGCAUUCUCCCAUGGAGCAGGUCUAGGCUUUGUGAGAUGUGGGCUGAGAGUUCCAGAGUCAUGAUGAUGUCACAGGACACUGUUUUACAACACUGCUAUUAUGUUCACUUGAGAGUCUUCUAUAUGUCAUGUUACCUCUUUACCACUAAACCUGAGAUGAACAGCUUCUAUGCUUGGUGCUUACGAAGAGAUCAAAGGCAGAGACUGACACUCAAUGUAAUGCCCCUUUUGGUCUGAAUGAAAAUUGGAGAAAAUAACACACUCUACUGUAUGGAGUCAACAGUAGGAAGUACAUAAGGUUGAAGACACUGCUGAUGAAAAUGAAUGAAUGAGUAAAUAAAUAAAUGACAUGUUUAAUGCA